GCAGGGAGAUGGGAAGGCAGUUGUUUCUGUCCAGAAGGUUCCCCGGAUUUAGGAUUUGGCUCCGCUCAGCAUGCCGUGGGGCAUCCUGGCUGGGUUCCAGGCGACUGCUCAUAAUGGUGAGGAAGUCAUGGUGGCAGGAGCAGGAAGUGUCCAGUCCCAUUGCAUCUGCAGCCAGGAAGCAGAGAGCAGUGCAUGGAGUACUCAGCUCCCUCUCUACUUUUCAUGCGGUCCAGGAUCUCAGGCCAUGGCUUGGCACUACUCACAAUCAAGAUCCAGGCCCACACAGGAGAUCCGUGAUGGAAGAGUCAAGAACUUCCCACUUAAUGACCGUCAGAGAACUUCCAGCCCCUCAGUGGUGCCGUCGCAUCUUGUAGAGCUUGCUGGCUGCUUCUUUCCAGUGUGUUUCAAUAAAUUCUGAUUUGUGUCUUUGGUCAA